rnacentral:rRNA from 1 species
AUUGAACGCUGGCGGCAUGCUUUACACAUGCAAGUCGAACGGUAGAGGGGCAACCCUUGAGAGUGGCGAACGGGUGAGUAAUGCAUCGGAACGUGCCCAGUAGUGGGGGAUAGCCCGGCGAAAGCCGGAUUAAUACCGCAUGAGACCUGAGGGUGAAAGCGGGGGAUCGCAAGACCUCGCGCUAUUGGAGCGGCCGAUGUCAGAUUAGCUAGUUGGUGGGGUAAAGGCCUACCAAGGCGACGAUCUGUAGCUGGUGUGAGAGGACGACCAGCCACGCGGGGACUGAGACCCGGCCCAGGCUCGUACGGGAGGCAGCAGUGGGGGAUUUUGGACAAUGGGCGGCAGCCUGAUCCAGACAUGCCGGGUGCGGGAAGAAGGCCUUCGGGUUGGAAAGCGCUUUUGUCAGGGAAGAAAUCUUCUGGGCUAAUACCCUGGGAGGAUGACGGUACCUGAAGAAUAAGCACCGGCUAACUACGUGCCAGCCGCCGCCGUAAAAC